rnacentral:lncRNA from 1 species
CAAGGAGAAGAAAGAUGAAGAAUAAGUUUUUCAGAAAAUAGAAUAGGAAAUAAUAAUAUAUUAUCUAGAAUAUGCAGAAGACAACCUAAUAUAGAGCAGAACCAAGAACUUAACGAAAUAAUAGAUGUAGACAAAGACUUACAAAUUUUUCAACAACAUCAAUUAAAAUUAUUAAAUCCUAAAACACUAUAUAACGCCGGAUAUUUUUCUACAGAUAAUCAGUUAUAUAGACAUUAUAGAGAAGAACAAAUA